UAGGGAAUCUUCCGCAAUGGACGAAAGUCUGACGGAGCAACGCCGCGUGAGUGAAGAAGGAUUUCGGUUCGUAAAACUCUGUUGUUAGGGAAGAAAAAAUGUAUAGUAACUAUAUACAAAAGAGACGGUACCUAACCAGAAAGCCACGGCUAACUACUUGCCAGCAGCCGCGGUAAUACGUAGGUGGCAAGCGUUGUCCGGAAUUAUUGGGCGUAAAGCGCGCGCAGGUGGUUUAGAAAGUCUGAUGUGAAAGCCCACGGCUCAACCGUGGAGGGUCAUUGGAAAAUAAUAAACUUGAGUGCAGGAGAGAAAAGUGGAAUUCCUAGUGUAGCGGUGAAAUGCGUAGAGAUUAGGAGGAACACCGGUGGAGAAGGCGGCUUCUUGGCAUGAAACUGACACUGAGGCGCGAAAGCGUGGGGAGCAAACAGG
rnacentral:rRNA from 1 species